rnacentral:rRNA from 1 species
GGACGAACGCUGGCGGCGUGCUUAACACAUGCAAGUCGAACGAGAAUCAAUGGAUAGAGGAUUCGUCCAAUUGAAGUUGAGGAAAGUGGCGGACGGGUGAGUAACGCGUGAGGAACCUGCCUUUCAGAGGGGGACAACAGUUGGAAACGACUGCUAAUACCGCAUAACGCAUAGGGGUCGCAUGAUCUUUAUGCCAAAGAUUUAUGUGCUGAAAGAUGGUCUCGCGUCUGAUUAGCUAGAUGGCGGGGUAACGGCCCACCAUGGCGACGAUCAGUAGCCGGCCUGAGAGGGUGAACGGCCACAUUGGGACUGAGACACGGCCCAAACUCCUACGGGAGGCAGCAGUGGGGAAUAUUGCACAAUGGGGGAAACCCUGAUGCAGCGACGCCGCGUGAGUGAAGAAGUAUUUCGGUAUGUAAAGCUCUAUCAGCAGGGAAGAAAAUGACGGUACCUGACUAAGAAGCCCCGGCUAACUACGUG